rnacentral:rRNA from 1 species
AUUGAACGCUGGCGGCAUGCCUUACACAUGCAAGUCGAACGGUAACGGGCCUUCGGGUGCCGACGAGUGGCGAACGGGGGAGUAAUGUAUCGGAACGUACCUUUCAGUGGGGGAUAACGUAGCGAAAGUUACGCUAAUACCGCAUAUUCUGUGAGCAGGAAAGCAGGGGAUCGCAAGACCUUGCGCUGAUUGAGCGGCCGAUAUCAGAUUAGCUAGUUGGUGAGGUAAAGGCUCACCAAGGCGACGAUCGGUAGCGGGUCUGAGAGGAGGAUCCGCCACACUGGAACUGAGACACGGUCCAGACUCCUACGGGAGGCAGCAGUGGGGAAUUUUGGACAAUGGGGGCAACCCUGAUCCAGCCAUGCCGCGUGAGUGAAGAAGGCCUUCGGGUUGUAAAGCUCUUUCGGCCGGGAAGAAAUCGUAUCAGCUAAUACCUGGUGCGGAUGACGGUACCGGCAUAAGAAGCACCGGCUAACUACGUGCCAGCCGCCGCCGUAACAC